rnacentral:lncRNA from 1 species
CGUCCCAUGCAAGGGAAACAACCACUUCUGGGAUGUCCGCUGCAAUCUGCUCCGGGGCUGCAGCAACCUCAUCAGCUCUUGCCUGGAGUGGCUCAGCCUGGGCCUGCAGGGAUGGCGAGGAUCCUCUAGCUAGGCAGGGUGACCAGAGAGGGCAGACAGCAGUCCUCUGUCCCAGGUCUUCUAUAGCAAGGAGCAGCCGUGCACAAGUGGACUUCCCCUAUUUAAAGGUCUUU